CCCUACGGGGUGCAGCAGGCGCGAAACCUCCGCAAUGCACGAAAGUGCGACGGGGGGACCCCAAGUGCCACUCUUAACGGGGUGGCUUUUUUUGAGUGUAAAAGGCUUUGAGAAUAAGAGCUGGGCAAGACCGGUGCCAGCCGCCGCGGUAA
rnacentral:rRNA from 1 species